rnacentral:rRNA from 1 species
UGAAAUAGUUGAAGUUUUUAAAAGUUUAUUUUGUUUGUUGUACCUUGUGUAUCAGGGUUCAUUGAAUUUUAUUAUUUAUUUUUAUUUCCCGAUUUUAGAGGAGUUAAUGGUUUAUGUUAGUUACUGUUUUAUUAGUAUUAAUAAUGGAUUAUUGGUAGUGAAAUGUUAUUCGUCUUUAACGGUUUCUGGUUUUUCAAGAAAUGAAUUUAAUUCAUGCUCCUUAUUUAAGUUUUACUUUUAUGUAUGUCUUUUUAUUUGGUGUUAAUAUUAGGGGGGAUUAGCUUCCUAUUUGACUUUUAUAAUUUUGUUUGCUUGAGUAGUAUUCAUUAUGUAAUUAGUAAAUGGUUUCUUUGUGUUGUUUGAUUUUAUGUUAGAUUCUUUUUAGGAAUUCGGCAAGAUUUUCAUGCCCGCCUGUUUAACAAAAACAUCUUUUCUUGUUAGUUUUUGAAGUAAGGCCUGCCCACUGAUUUGGUUAUUGAAGGGCCGCGGUAUUUUGACCGUGCAAAGGUAGCAUAAUCAUUAGUUCUUUAAUUGUGAUCUGGUAUGAAUGGUUUGACGAGGCAUGCACUGUCUUAAAUUAGUUGAAUAAUUUUAUUGAAUUUGGAGUUUGAGUUAAAAUUCUUAAAUGCUUAUAUGGGACGAGAAGACCCUAUAGAGUUUAAUACUUGUAUUUAUUUGCUGUUAUGGUUUGAUUUAUAGUUUUAUAGUAGAUAAAGUAUUUUGUUGGGGUGAUGGGAGGAAUUUAUGUAACUCCUCUUAUUUUAGUUAUAUUUGUUUGUAUUUUCUUGAUCCAUUUAUUUUGAUUAUAAGAUUAAAUUACCUUAGGGAUAACAGCGUAAUCUUCCUUGAGAGUUCUUAUUGGCAGGAGGGUUUGCGACCUCGAUGUUGGAUUAAGGUGAAUUUUUGGUGCAGGAGCUGAAAGUGAUUAGGUCUGUUCGACCUUUAAAAUCUUACAUGAUCUGAGUUCAGACCGGCGUGAGCCAGGUUGGUUUCUAUCUAUAGUAAUAUUUUAUAUCUUAGUACGAGAGGACCGGAUAUUUGGAAUAAUUUUAAUUUUAACGUGAUUAUUAAUAAUGAUAU